CAUGCAAGUGGUAGGAAGCCGAAAGGUGACGACCCUUCGGGAGCUUGCACAGGUGCUGCAUGGCUGUCGUCAGCUCGUGUCGUGAGAUGUUCGGUUAAGUCCGCUAACGAGCGCAACCCUCGCUGUGUGUUAUAUGUGUCACACGGGACUGCCGGUCUUAAGCCGGAGGAAGGUGGGGAUGAUGUCAAGUCAGCAUGGCCUUUAUAUCCUGGGCUACACACACGCUACAAUGGCCAACACAAUAGGUUGCUAAGCCGCGAGGUGGCGCCAAUCCAUAAAGUUGGUCUCAGUUCAGAUUGUAGGCUGCAACCCGCCUGCAUGAAGAUGGAGUUGCUAGUAACCGCAGGUCAGCUAUACUGCGGUGAAUACGUUCCCGGGGCUU
rnacentral:rRNA from 1 species